AAAGAUGUGCACAAAUUAUUGUUGCAAAAGGAAACAUACUUUAUUCAAAAGUUCAACUAUUCCCUUUGGACUAAAUGCGGCUCUUGAUUUCACUCCUUUUCUAUGAUACUUUAGUAUGUUUUGAUAUCUUACCAGUGUUAAAUUCUGUAUUGGUGCCCUUAAGUGCAACUCAGAUUAUCACCUGACUAUAUAUAAGGCUGAGGCUAUGUAUCUUUCCCUUUGAGAACUGCUAAUGCCACUGUAAGAAAUUGACUUACUGCAUGUAAAUUACCUCUGAGCAUUGGUUCCAGAUUAUUGAAGUAUAUUGAUCAGAAGAAGUUAUUAAUGGAAACAUGAAAUUUUACCUGGGAAUCGUGUUAUCAAUAGUACUUCUUUUCAAUAUCUGAAUUCUUUCUACAGAACAUUCAUAGCAUCAUUGAAUAUCCUAUCUAUUUUUGCGAGGAGAAGUCUGCAUGUCAACAAAAAACUACUUUUGCGUAGUGCAUCCGUAUGGACUCCUAUGUGAUGGACUUUUCUACCUCAGACUGAAUUCUUUAUUGUUGUUUUGUUUAUAUAAGUAUAUUUGUUUUGUGAAUGGCUUUAAGUGCUCUAUUGAAAGAGUGCUUUAGUUCUCUAAGUAAUUUUCAUUUCAUAAAUAAGAUUAGUGAAUUUGAAA